CACUGUGGGCAGAAAUUUCGCGGGCCGGAUGGCACCGCGUCGCGGGCCGGAUAUGGCCCGCGGGCCGUAGGUUGUGCAUCCCUGGUCCAAAGUAACGAACAUUAUUUCGUUGGAUUUUUUUUUUUGUUAUUUUUUUAUUUUUUUGUUUAAAUUCAGCCUGAACGCCCAAAUCUUCAGUGCAGAGGUAAGAGAGAGAGAAAAAAAAAGAAGUCUCUAGCUGUAAACAGGUCGGGGUAAUCCAAGUACAUGAGUCACACCCACAAAAAGCCGACUGUCACCCUACGGGAUGCCGUGACCUUUUGUCGGGUCUGUGUCGAGGAUUGUCGAGCUGUCUGUCGUGUCUUGUGAUAAACAACCAGAAAUCUUUGGCUUUUGCUACUACUGGUGGGAAAGGAAAAACAUACAACUAAAGAGGAGAGGAGAAAAUAUUUUGAAAUCCUCCAUUAUUCACUACAAGGAGUGACACGUACCAUUCCCGUAUCUAUCCCGUCAGUGGAAGUCUGUGAAGGUAUGUGUCAGGUCAAGUCGUGGACAGAAAUGGAAGAUAUUUGUCACCAGGAUGUAGCUGGAGACAGUCACCAACUGCCUGCAGUCCCUCCAAGCGAGGAGGAAGAGUACUGCGCACUCAUGUUGUCAGACGGCAAGAUGAGCUGGGAGGAUGUGUACCACGUGACUUUUCUCACAGUGUUUCCUGCUGUCUUCUUUGUGCUGGCCAUCGUCCUCAUGCAUGUGUACAAUGAUUGACAUAUUCUGUACACUGUUGACAGACGCUUUUUUCAGAACAUUUUUAAUUAAUUAAUCUUAGAAAAACCGAAAAAUCAAUGCAUCAUUUACACAAAAAAUACACAUUUUCUUUUUCUCGUAAAAAACGAAACAUACAUUGGCAUUUAACAGAAAUGUACGCACCAAGCAACAUUUGAUUUUUAUCUUUAUGUAAUUAAAUAUUUUCCAGAUUCCUCAAUGUAUUAUCAGUCUUCUCCUGAUGUCACUGACCGUUAUUCUCUGGAGUUACAGUGAUCACCCUUUACAGCGACUCCUCGCUUUGUUCUUCCUUCUACAUCUUUGUGAUUGUUUUGCGAUCUUGUUCAGUUUAUUGAGUUUGCCUUUGGCUGAGAUAUUGUAUAAAUUCUCAGUUAUUAUUAAAAACACAAUAUAGUAGAA